rnacentral:tRNA from 1 species
GCCCGCGUGGUGGAAUCUGGUAGACACACUGCGCUUAGAACGCAGCGCUCCGGCGUGGGGGUUCGAAUCCCCCCGUGGGUA